AGUUAAGUGACUAAGCGUACAAGGUGGAUGCCUUGGCAAUCAGAGGCGAAGAAGGACGUGCUAAUCUGCGAAAAGCUUGGAUGAGUCGAUAAGAGGCGUUUAAUCCAAGAUAUCCGAAUGGGGAAACCCAGUAGAUGAAGAAUCUACUAUCAACAAGUGAAUACAUAGCUUGUUGAGGCAAACCGGGAGAACUGAAACAUCUAAGUACCCCGAGGAAAAGAAAUCAACCGAGAUUUCGUCAGUAGCGGCGAGCGAAAGCGAAAGAGCCAGUAAGUGAUAGCAGUAUAGUUAGGAGAAUGUGUUGGGAAGCACAAUCAAAGAGGGUGAUAAUCCCGUAUCUAAAAACCAUAUUGUGGUACUAAGCUAACGAGAAGUAGGGCGGGACACGUGAUAUCCUGUUUGAAGAAGGGGGGACCAUCCUCCAAGGCUAAAUACUCCUGAUUGACCGAUAGUGAACCAGUACUGUGAAGGAAAGGCGAAAAGAACCCCGGUGAGGGGAGUGAAAUAGAACCUGAAACCUUGUACGUACAAGCAGUGGGAGCCC
rnacentral:rRNA from 1 species